rnacentral:rRNA from 1 species
GACGUAGGAGGCGAGCGUUGUCCGGAUUCAUUGGGCGUAAAGAGCGCGCAGGCGGCUUGGUAAGUCGGAUGUGAAAACCCGAGGCUCAACCUCGGGCGUGCAUCCGAAACUGCUCGGCUAGAGGUAGGUAGGGGAGAUCGGAAUUCCUGGUGUAGCGGUGAAAUGCGCAGAUAUCAGGAGGAACACCGGUGGCGAAGGCGGAUCUCUGGGCCGAUACUGACGCUGGAGGAGCGAAAGCGUGGGGAGCGAACAGG